AUUGAACGCUGGCGGCAGGCUUAACACAUGCAAGUCGAACGAGUCGCAGACGGGUGAGUUAUGCUUGUGAAUCUACCUUAUGGAGGGGGAUAACUACGGGAAACUGUAGCCAAUCCCGCUUACCAUAGGAUGAGCCCAAGUGGGAUUCGGUAGUUGGUGAGGUAAAGGCUCACCAAGCCGACGAUCUCUAGCUGGUAUGAGAGGAUGACCAGCCACACUGGAACUGAGACACGGCGCAUGGUCCAACGGGAGGCAGCAGGGGGGAGUUUUGCGCAAUGGGAGCAAGCUGACGCAGCCAUGCGGCGUGAAUGGAGAAGGCCUGAGGGUUGUAAAGUACUUACGGUAGCGAGGGGUUAACUGCAGAAGAAGCACCGGCUAACUCCGUGCCAGCAGCCGCGGUAAUUC
rnacentral:rRNA from 1 species